GGGGCUGUUUCGGAUUCGACAGGUGGGCGUGAGAUAUUGUAAGCAUGCCGUAGGCUCGUCUACGUUAAAACGGAAACAAUAAUUAAACGCUAAAAAUAAUAAUUACGCUUUAGCUGCCUAGGCAGAGAGCUGUCGUGCUAGUAGUCCUGUCGGACUAGAUCUCGGCAUCAUUUAGACAGGAAGGUCGCUUUGCAUUUGGUGCGUCGCAUAGUGACAGAUUAGUACCUUACCAACGUGUAGCCCGCCAAUAGGCGACACUUAGGGAAAUUCAAAUUGUUGCGCUAAGCAUGUAGAAAGUAAUGUCAAUCACUGUCUGGACACGGGUUCGACUCCCGUCAGCUCCACCA
rnacentral:tmRNA from 1 species